GCCAAAAAUCUAGCUCCCCUCAACCUGAUGAACCCCCCACAAUUCAAAUAUUUAAUAAAACAUUUUAUACAUAAAGUAUAGGCGAUAAAAAAAUGUCUAGAAGCAAUAGAGUUAGUACCGUAAGGGAAUGAUGAAAUAAUAAUGAAAAACUGCAAGCACAAAAAAGUAGAGCUACAACCUCGUACCUUUUGCAUCAUGGUCUAACGAGUCUAACCAAGCAAAAUGCACUUUAAGUUUGACCCCCCGAAACUAGGUGAGCUACUCAAAAACAGCCUUUAGGGCCAACCCGUCUCUGUUGCAAAAGAGUGGGAAGAUUCUUGAGUAGAGGUGACAGACCUAUCGAACCUAGAGAUAGCUGGUUAUUCAGAAAAAGGAUUUAAGUCCUGCCUUAAGAUUUCCCGUACAAUCGAGCACUUUUUUAACCUUAAGAGUUAUUCAAAUAAGGUACAGCCUAUUUGAAUUAGGAUACAACCUCCAUCAAUGGGUAAUAAAUUUCUUCACCAACCAAGUGGGCCUAAAAGCAGCCACCUUUAAAAAAGCGUUAAAGCUUUAUUAAUUUUCUUUAAAAAUUCCCUCAACUUUCUAUAACCCUUAACUUUGUACUGAAUAAUUUUAUAUUAAUAUAAAAACUUUUAUGUUAGAACUAGUAACAAGAAGCAGCCCUUCUCCAAAAUGUAAGUUUAAGCCAAAAUGAACAACUCAUUGGCAAUUAAAGUCAUUAAACCUCUAGUAGUAACCCCUCAAGAAAAAUCUACUAUAUUUCAACGUUAAUCUUACACUAGAACAUUUCUGGAAAGAUAAAAAGAGUGGGAAGGAACUCGGCAAACAACUUAACCCCGCCUGUUUACCAAAAACAUCGCCUCUUGAUAACCCAUAAGAGGUCCAGCCUGCCCAGUGACAAAGUUAAACGGCCGCGGUACCCUAACCGUGCAAAGGUAGCGCAAUCACUUGUUCUUUAAAUGAGGACCGGUAUGAACGGCAUCACGAGGGUUAUACUGUCUCCCCACUCAACUCAGUGAAACUGAUCUUCCCGUGAAGAAGCGGGAAUAAAAAUAUAAGACGAGAAGACCCCAUGGAGCUUAAAACUCAGAAUCAACUGCCACAUUUACAACCUCAUAACCACGCAGCCAUGACCUCUAGUUUUCGGUUGGGGUGACCGCGGAGUAAAACACAACCUCCAUGAUGAAAGGAACUAAUACCCUAAUCUAAGGGCGACAGCCCUAAGAAUUAAUACAUUAACCCAAUUGAUCCAAUCACUUGAUCAACGAACCAAGUUACCCUGGGGAUAACAGCGCAAUCCAUUUCAAGAGCUCAUAUCGACAAAUGGGUUUACGACCUCGAUGUUGGAUCAGGAUAUCCCAGUGGCGCAGCCGCUACUAACGGUUCGUUUGUUCAACGAUUA
rnacentral:rRNA from 1 species